UGGGGAUCAUCUUCGAAAUAUCUGCACUUAAGCUGUGGAUGUUUGCAAUUCGUGUUCAAUGUGACUACCUUUAUGCAAGGGGCGUCACUUAGGCUGAUUUUUUUUUAUGGUGGGAGUAAGGUGAAUGUGGGUGUAAGGGGUGUUACUUAGAACUUCAAGAGGAAAAUAUUGUAGUUCUUCGAAGAGGAAAUUUGGGAAGCUAAGUUUAUAACAUUGAAGAGUUUGGAAUUGAACUUUCAAUCUGACAUUAUUGGUUGCUGGGAAGGUCUUUCUGUAUCUAGCAAUCAGUUGCAGGU